UCUCUGUGAGUAGGUUAGCCAUGCGUAUCAUGGUGAAAUCCAGUGAAUGAUAAUGAACUAAGCAACUGUGUGUGUGUGUGUGUGUGUGUGUGUGAGGGAGGAGGGGAGGCAGUGGCACGCUUGCUGAAUCACUCCCACUGUCCAUCCUUCCAUCCACCUAUCUGUCUAUUCACCCAUCUAUUCCUCCUCCACCUACUCGUUGGUGGUGUGUUGGCUAGAAGGACAGCCCCCAUGCUCUGACACACUCACACACGUAGACACUCACCUCCGCGAUGUGUCACUACCCAUUCCACCUGCCUCUUCCCGUCAUUCGCUCGCUGUUCCAUCUACCUACACUUGUUCUUUUCAGUCCCUCCAUCCCUCAGCUUCUCCUUUUUAUGUUCUCUCUGAGUCUUUCUCUUCACCCCUCCUCACCCUCAGCCCCCCCUACGCUGUGUGUCACCGCUGCCGGGAAGAAAGAAAAAUGCUCUGCCCAACAAGAGUGAGAAGAGAAAGGAGAAAAGAGUCAAAGAGAAGAAGAUAGUGAAAGCCGGAGUUCAUUUGGAGCGCAGUGAUGCCUCCAUUCACCAUGAGCCAGACUUGAUGGAAUAUCCCGGACGGUGCAGGCAGAAGGAGGAAGAAGAAGUAGAAGAGAAGGACUGAAGAAUAACAGGACUGAGAAGGCAGGACGGCUUGGCGCUUGCCUCAGGAGGCUCCAUCCAGACCAGUCUCAUUGUCCUCACACACACCUCGCCGCGGAACGUGUGCGCGCAAGUGCGUGCAUGUGUCUGUGUGAGGACGGGGGUGCAGCCACUCAUUUCUACAUCACAGUGCAGCAGAGCGCCAGGUUCCACUCUGAGCUUCACGUGGAUGCGGUGCAUCAGAUAGGCCAUGCCUUUCACCUGUGCCUGUUUCUGCGGCCUGAACGGCUUCUGCCGCAGACGGGAGAAGAAGAAAAAGGAGCAAGAGGACGAAGAUGAGGGUGAGGAGGAAGAACAAUGGAGGGAUCAGGAGACCGUGGUGUGACAGUGUCGCUGUCUCCCCUCCCCUACCCCGGUGCUUCAGCCUUUAACAGACUGCAAUGUACAGCCCAGGUUACCGCUGCUCAGUACAGACUGUCUAAUAUUAUGUGUGGGAACAAUAUAAGAGGGAUGUAAGGGGCUUCAGCAUGCACAGGCUUUUAUGCAAAGUUCUGAAUUAAUUGGACAUUUUUCAUUCAUUCAUCUCUGUUGCUGAAAUCCUUGAACCAGCUGCUGAAUAUUUUUACAUUAGUACCCAGGAGUCAAACUUCAGGUUCUAUUGUGUUUCUACUUUUUAAACAUCCCAAACCCAAGAACUGCAAAGCUGUCUUGAGAAAUAUUCCUCAAGAUGUACCAGCAAACAAAAUGAAAGCCUGUGAACUCUUAGCUAAUCCCCAUUACCCAACUCCACUUUCCCCCUGGCAGCUGGCUGAGAACUUUGCUUCAACUGAUGUGGUUCUUAACAAAACAUAUUUCUGUUUGAUUCAUUUUUUUUGCCAUACCUAGUGCCUAUAUAAGGUGCCAAAAGGCGAGAGGCUCUAGAAAUCCAUUAUUUCUCUCUGUCACACCUCUCAGUGAUAGCCCAUCUCUCCCUUCUCCUCCUUAAAUAGCAGCUCCCACACAGAGUCUGAAUUGGAGCCAGAGUUCAGUGGAGCUCUGCGCCUCCUCACCUACCUGCUUAUGCCAGAUCAACUUAGUGAAAACUUCAGCCAAGUGAGAAAGUGAGCAGUAAUUUCCAAAGUCACCCAUGGAGGACCGGAACCCGUCUCGCUUUUCACACUGAGCUGGGCCUGAUCUAAAGCUGAGCAGCUGUCCAAUCAGCAGCUUAGCUGGAGUGUGAAGAUAUGAGUCAAGGGUCAGUAUGAGCAACAGGCUUUGUGAGACGCCCCUGCUCUGGUGCCGUACUAUCUCUGACUCAUUAAUAGGCAGACAAGUAAUUACACACACACACACACACCAAUGUGAACACAUCCAUUAAUGUCCACUGGUGGGAGUGGCGUGUCUGUCCGUAAAUGCCACUGCGGUGCGCUUCCAGCUGUCACCUGUUUGAGUGUGUGACUCCUUAAGCAUGUGUGUCUGUGCUUGUGUUUCUUCUUGGCUGCAACAAUAGAGUUUCAAACCUGAAACAAGUUGUUAAGAUAUCUAUUCAUCUUUUACGAACUGCCUUUUCAGAACAUGCAUUGAGACACAAAGACACACACAUUCAUAGGUCUCAUUAGUUUGUGUGAUUAUGCAUGGCACGUCCAGUCAGGCAGUGGAGAUGUAAUUAACCUUUUCCAGCAGGAAACAGAUGCCUGGAUGUCACACACAAACACAGACAAUGACAUACACACACAGAUGCACACACAGAUGCACACACACACGCACACACACACGUCUGCUGUCAGGGAAACAAAGCCAACGUCAUGGUGUCACGGAAACAAAGCCCCAGAAGCGCCGCCUGGCACUCUGUGAUAAUCCCCUCACACAUAUUUACAUUCACGAUUUAGAAUACGCCUCGGUGUUGCUGUCUUCACCCCCCAGGCACGCUGUGCCCCCAACCCUUCCCCACUCCAGCCCCUAGUCAUCCACCUCUUUCUCAGCCGUCCACCUUUUGGCCUUUCCCUCGUUCAUUCACUUUUUUCUUCCACCAUCUCUUCAUCCUCUAAAUCUUUGACAUCUCUCCCAAAACUCUCUUUGUCAUCAAGUUCAUCUGAUUAUUAUCAGUGGAUAGUACAUGGCCUUGCAUGGCAGCUCCCACUGAUUAGCCCUCUGACUCUUGAUAUCAGGGAUUUCUUCAGGCAGGCAAAAAGCUGCUUUGUGACAGAUUAAUGUACAGCUGUCACCAGGUCGUUGGUGUGCCUCUGUCCCUGCUUGGAACAGAUUGUGUAUUUAUUCAUUCUCCUGCUACAAGCGGCAAAAUGAGACAAAGCAAAAGUCAUUUCACAGUAUAGAGCACCUAUUAUGAUUCACUGUGUUACGACACAGCCCUAAUGAGAAACAGAGCGAGAGAGAGGAGGGGCUGGAGGAGGAUAAGAGAGGAAGAAAGGAAAAGAUGGUAAUGAGACCAAGAGUCAGAUAUGGAAGAGGGGGCUAAUGCUAGACAGAGCAUUCAUGCUAAUUGGCUACAGCGGAUAACUUUCUGAGCUGGGGAUGUGUGUGUGCAUGUAGUGUGGGCAGAGAGAAAAGAACAGCCUGAUCUGUUGGCGUUACACUCGUUUAACACUCCCUCCAUUUCACCUUUUUAAUGAGAGGAAUAUUCGCUCCAGUAAUGGCGAAAGACUUGGUAACGAUUUGUUGCUCUCUCUCACACACACACACACUUGGAAUUGGUAAGAUGGGGGGAGGGGCAGGAAGGAAAUAGUUUUGGCAGAGGUGAGUGUGUUUUCCCAUAAGCACCACAACCCAGCCUUUUAUGGAUCAUGGCAAUUUUCAGGGAUUGUAACUCAAGGACAAACAGCUAAAAAUAGAGGGGUGGUGCACGACUCUUGUGAUAGCAGGGAGGAGAGGAGUGAGAUGGAAGGAUGCGCGUGAGCAUGUGUGUGGGUGGGGACAGUGGAAACGAGUCUUGUCGCAUUAGAUUUGGGUCAGAAACGAGGGAAGAGCCGACGAAGCGGAGAACGUUACAGACGUUAGGGAGAUCCAUCACCCACUGCUCCCUGCACCUCACGCUCAUUUCCUUCGACACCUUGCCACCCUGUCCCCUCUCUCUCUCACUUCACACACACACCUGCAGGGGAUAGGAAAAAGGGCAUCGGAACAGGGAGCGGGGAUGGUGAGAAAACCACUGGAAAGACAAAGGAGAAGUCGCAGGGCAGAAAACGACGGAAACGUAAUAUGAGAGAUUAAACCACAGCUUGAUUAUAAUAGAUUAUAAUAUGAAUAUAUGCAGUUCUAUCCAAGACCCUGCUGUAUAAUGAGUGCAUACAUACAUUUAUACUAUGAAUGAAAUGAUCCCAGUAGGAAAUGAACUCUAAUGGUGAAGCCUUGCUGUUGCUACUGAACUGAAUCAGAGAGUCAGUUCAGAAAUAACAUUUGACAGUUUCAGAAACAUGCUUAUUGACUUUUCUGUCAAAAGUUAGAUAGGAAGAACUAUACCCCCCCAAUACUGUUUAGAUGUUUAGUAUGGAUGUAGAAGGAAGCAGAAAUCAAUCAUCUUAGCAUAAAGACUGCAAGCAAACAGAACUCAUGGCAGGAAUGUGACUGAGCAUAUUUCUCAGAAGACCAGACCUUUCUCUUAAUCCACAAGGUAGUGUGUUGGUCUACUCUUUGUGUCACAUAUGUGAUUGAACUGUUUAACCCUGUCCAUGACUGUGCCUUGCUCAUGGAAAUAAAACCCCCUAAACCCGACAACUGAAAUUCCCCUGAGAAGUGAAAUCUCAUGCAGAAGUGCCAAAAGAAAUGCUACCACUGCAAUUGUCACACAGUAACAUUGCCUGAAUUAUGAAUGUGCAGCAGCAGGAUGUAAAACAGUCUGCAAGCGCUGCUCACCUACAAAUCGCAAAAGCUGGCAGCAUCGCAUUUCAAAAUUUGCAAGUAAAUUGCAAAUUGUAGAUACAUUUCCAGUUUCUUCAAGACACACAAUCAGCACUGGGACACAAGAGUCACAUUUGCUUUGAUUAAUAAAAUGUAAAAUUAACGUGAAUGUAGCCUACAUGAUCUCAUACUACAAAUCACGGCUUACAUGUUGCAUGUAGUAUAUUUUAGUAUAAAGAUAAAAUGCUUUAUGUUCCAGACAUCCACCUACUUUAGGGACUAUUCCUUGGAUUAGAAAGUAGGUGAUUUCAGAUGUGGCCUACCACAAAACAUAUUAGUUUAUUUAUUUGCUUGGUAAUGUGAGUGAAUCAACGCACUUCUGUGGUAAAUUUAUGGUUCGCAAAACACUAAAAUUCCUGCCCAUGCAUAAAAUUUGACAUAUCUUUGAACUGAGGCAACAGCACUGUCUACAGAAAUUUACAGUCCAAUAAAUAAUGUUUUCAUUAUUAGGCUGAGUAUCUGUCGCCUUUAUUUACUUCAGUGAUUAGACACAGCAAUGAUGAAGAUAUUAUUGCAUUUAAGCAGCAAAACAUCCUGUAAUAAACUACUCAGCAAACUCAAGGUCCAGUUAUUAUUUGAUGAAGGGAUCUCAUGGUCCUCAUCAGCUCUACAAAUCAAAACAGAUUCUUAUAACAACUAAGUCAUUGGAAUCCCCAGAGCAAAACUAUUAAGUGGACCUUGAGUUAAAAGGUUGUUUUUUUUUUUUGUAAAGUCAUACUCAUUUUUAGACAUUUAGACAUUGAGACAUUUAUUGCAUGACAUUGUCCUCUCUACCUCCACGUGUCCUGUCUGCCACUAUCAAAUAAAACCAAAAUGCAAAGUAGCAUCCACACAGGUGGCAGCGGCAAAUAAUAAUGUAUGUACACUUGAACAUUAGCUACCCAAACUCACCUUGCCUCUGCCAUCACGUUUUCUCAGAAAUCAGUGGAGGCAUUAGCGGUGAACGCUUGCCACGUUAAAGUACCUAUAGAGCUAUCCAGGCAAUUAGAUCCCUGACAGCCUUAGUGCCUCACUUCAGGGUAUGCAACCUUCAACAGACAUAAAGCUUUUCUUUUCCCUUCAGCAUCUCCUGUGUUGUCCAUUCAUUAUUUCUUCCUUGCUCACCCACAUCUGUUCAGUUUUCUUAAUGAAGACAAAAGUGAUGGUCCCACCAAGGCUAAUUAGGAGGACUGAGAUGCAGAGCACUGAUAGACUGGUGAUAGAGUCAGAAGGGAAGCACCAACGCAGACCGCUUAGAGCUCUCACCAGUCCCAGAGCAUCAGAGUGGGAAAUGGGGAAAAGGGAUGCAGAGAGAGGGGAUACAGUACAAAUGAAUGGAUGAGGAGCAGAGAGAUAUAUAGCGUAAUUGAGAUUGUAAUGGGUUUUGUCAGGAGCACCUGUCAGGGUCAGGUUAAAACAGCUUCAGUGAGAGAGGAAGAGAAAGAUGAGAAGAUGGGAAGAGAGAAGGGGCCAAUUGGAGUCGGGAUCCCCAUGAGGAGAGGGCCUAGUCCAUGCCAACCUCACCUGAUUGCCAAUUUGUGCCAGUCUGCAGAUAUCAAAUACCAAUAUGUCUUGCCCGCAGACACACAAACACCUCUGACUGGAGAGUGCUAACCAGCUAAAAGCACCCAUACACAUUCAGUCACACACAUGCACAAACUCACUGACUGAUUAGACACAUAUAGCUGCUUAACAACAUGUUCAAGGUGCAGACCUGUACCAUGCCAUUGGAAGAUAAAUCUGCCACUGUUAAAUAGCUAGUUCUUCCCAGGUCCUGGAUAAAAAUAAGGUAGAGCACUGCUUAGAUUGCAGCCUGUUAUGCCAACCUAAGACCUAUGCUAUGUUCAUUACCGGCCCUGCCCCAACCCCAACCAAUCCUAUCUCUCUUGAUGUUCUCCUGCCAAAACCAAAUGCUCUAUUUGUGAUGGAAAAGCAAUUCUGACACCCUUGAGGUCGAUGUCUAAAAAGUGAUGAAAUUAAGUUGAGUCAAAUUUAUUUAUAAAUCACUGUUAAAGCUGUAUCUGGCAAUUCAACAUGCUGACAGGCCCAAAUGGCAGCGAGACAUAACAUAAAUGACUGAAAUGCAAGCCCUCACUACUGAGAAGGUCUGUCCCAGUAAGUCUCAGUAAAUGUUACACUUGUGGUCCAGAUAGGGUCCAGGUGGUGAUGAGGUUCAGCCAUCACCCUGGGGACAGCGUUCUCAAUCAGAACUGUUUAGGAUUGCACUUUUUUUCAAUUUUGUUGAGAAUAUACUGUGCCAUCAAACAUUUCGACGGCAGAAUUUUUUUUAGGCAAACAGUAAACAUUUGCACUUUGGCUGAGAGAAAAAGUGUAUUUUAAAUGGUAAUGCUUUAACAAAUGUGCUUCAUACAAAUGAAAAGCCAUACCUCAGAUAUGAAAAAGUUGAUUUAUUAUCUGGUUGAAGACAAGGACAGUCCACUGGCUUUUCUAGUUACUGCACUAUUACACCAUAAUUCAUGCUUGGUGCUUUACCUCUCCCCACACAGGGUGAUUAUAAAACUGUGCCUCAAAAGAGAGAUUAAAAGAAGAAUGGUCAAACUGAGGGCGAAGGUCAAGAUCUAGUUCUACUCACAAGUCUCCCACUACACAGUGUAAUUUAUAAGAAAAACAUACCUGCUCCUUUUGUAGCCUGAUGUGAUAUCUAUGCCACUAAGCUAUCCUAGUCCAGUGAAGCUAGUUUGCCAGCUAAAAACCAGCUGUCAUGUUGCAUUAUAUUAAGUGAUAUUAUUAUGUAACAUGUUACCAAAGUAAUGCAACACUGCCUAGUAUGGAUCAUGCUUAAAAAACCCUACAGUUGCCAUAAUGCAACUCAAAAGUGUCUUGGAGUAGACCCUGCCUGCCUGCUGCCCAUAUCCUUUAAAAAAUAUUUUGGAAGUCAAGUCAAUGUUUAUCUACAGAAUGGGCUCAUGAUGCUCCACUGCUGAAACACCAUGAUUAUAUUUUUGAUUAACCUAUAAACACAAACCGAAUGUCUAAUACUUUUUAUCCCAAUUUAGUUUGGUGAUUGUGAAAUAGCAUUCAUAAAUUCCUCAAGAACUUUUUAGUAGGUUAUGCAGGCAUGAAUACAGCAUCACAGCACCAAAUAAUUAACUCUUUUGAUUUAGAUCCUCACUUCUGGAAAAAAAUGUCAAAGAUCUUCAGAUAAUUUGCAACAAGGGCUGGAUUGGUUUUAUUGUAUCCACAGUAUUUAUUCUUCUGCACAAAUUAACGAGUUAUUCUACCACCUCCAUUAUCUUGGGGGCAACAGUACAUGCCAUAUUUAGGAACGCUUGCUAUUAACACUUUAGACAGUUUUGUUUUUUCAAUUCCAGUGCCCCACAUACUGCACAGUUUUGUAAAUACCAGCAACAUUACUGGGGCUCUGGAAUGUAACCUUGUUCAUUGGCAUAAUCUGAAAUUUGAAGCAGUUUUACAUCAAGUGUCAUAAUUUAGUUAGAGUAAUGAGAACAUUUUUGAAAAACUGGCAGCAGAGUCAGCAGCAGCUCUGCCAGCAAAAUACUCAAUUUAUGUACAGUUAGAAGAAUGCUGACAAUCUCCUGGUGCCUUCAGGUUUAGUGGGCUGAAGGUUAAAGGAGAUCAUCAUCAUCACCUUUAACAGAAUCCAUAACUCUUAAAAACUUCUACAAUGACUUCUGGCUAUCUGACCUCACACAUACCAUGUUCAGCCGUACUAAUGCUACUUAUAACUACUGUGCAGCUAAAAUAAGGAAAGAAAUGAGGGGGCACAGAGAUGUGUUUUAAAGUAAACAGAGAAAGACUUUUCUAAUUGUCAAGGGCUGUAAACAGGUCAUGUGUCCCACAUAUCUGAUGCCACUUCACCAUCAUCGAUGGAUAAUAAAUCAGUUUCUCUCCCCCUUUUUCCCUCAGUCUUUCCUCUUCGUCGUGCCUCACCUCCUGUUCCCCCUCACACUCUGUUUCAUCUAUACACACACUCACUCCCACACACCAUUGCUGGUCGAUACCAGAGCGGGUAUUGAGCAGUGGCUGUGGUCUAAAUGAGAGUUUGAUUUCUCGUGGGGUGUUAGCCCCUGUAACCAUGGUGUUGAGUCGCCAUCAGAGACCUCUUCGUCAAACGCUCAUUGAUGAAGUGCGUGUGUGUGUGUGCGUGUGCCGCCAGCGGCCGCUUUCAGCGCCUUUUCAUUUAGUUGUGCUCAAGAACAAUACUUUUCAUUAGAGGCUGAUAGCAUUCAUUAAGAGCAAUUCAGCAGGGCCACUAAUGAGCUGAUCUGCUCUUGAACACUUCAUUCUCCUUGAAAAACAAUGAAGCAUGGUGUCACACAAGCAGACGCACACACACAAAAACACUUGAUCCAAUUGCAUCUUGAGUCAAUUCUGGAAACUGUUAUUUCAUCAGAGCUACAAAUAAGUGAAAACUAGCUGGCUGAGUCUUUGUUUAGGAAGCUCUGGCUUUGCUUUCUCUGGCAUUAAGCCUUUCUGCUCAAACAGCAAAUACUCUUUGUGUCGUUUGGGCCCAUUCAUAACAUUUACUAAGCUACGGAUAUUGUCUAUAUCAACAAAAAGCCUGUGCCUUCGAUCCAAUACGUGGCCAAGCCACUGAGCACUUAGUAAACCACUCAGCAGUUUCCAGAAUCCAGAUAUUAAUGUUGCUUCGCUCCGAGCAUCCAGACUUUACUUUUGUUUGACAGAAUUUGUGUUUGAUGUUUGUAGCAUCUUGCAAAUUCUUUCACUCCUGUUAUCCCUCUGCACUUUUGCUGCCACCAAACAGCACAGCCUGUUUCUCUGGCAUUUGAAUGAGUGUAAAGCUAUCUCCAUUUUCUAUGGAGUUUCUAUAUUAUUCAUAUCUCUGGGCCUUUGCGGCGAGAAAUAAGCGAGGCAGGGAUGGAAAGAGAAAAACAGAGAAGGAGGAGGGACCUUUGACAUUGACAAACAGCUCAACACAGUCAGAUACAUAAACAUGAGGUCAGAGAGUAUCGCAGUGGGAGACGGAGAAGGAAGAAGGAGAAAGGGUAAGAGAGAGAAAGUG